CAUCGGGCCGUGCUGCGCCCUGCAGCCCCGCUCCCGCCCCGCGGAGCACGGGCCUCCGACCUAGAAUUGUAUUCGCGGUGUAUUAUUGACGAGGUGCUUUCCCGGGACGAGGGUGAAAAGGUCUCGAGCACCCGGGACUUGCCCUGCCGCGGAGCUGAAGGGGCCACGCUGGCCGCUCCGGGCCGAUUGGCGUCGUCCUCCUGCCUCUGUAAAGCAGAUCGUCUCCGCCGUGCUGGCUUUGCAUAAGGCGGCAGCAUUGGCUUAGUUAGCGAGAUCGGAGGAGCUAAGGCCGCGAAAAAUAAGGGGCUGGAAUCAGGCUCCUCCCACAGCCUAGGACUACUUUUCGUGGCUCUCAAAUGGCGAGCGAAUGAAUCCCAGCCGAAAGGGAAACAGUCACGAGACGGUGACCCCUUCCCUGCUCUACCUAGGCUCGACCAAGGCUCCUGACCUGCUCACAACUUUGCGCAACAAAAAUGAAUUCUUGCUCUCCUAGGUCAUCAGCCUCGUGUAUUACUCAAUGUUUACUGCAGGAGGAAGCUUCAUUUUUAAUAUCACCUUAGAAACGUGAACUCGUUCAUAGUCUUGAGGGCUAGCAAGCACGUCAGCUGUCUCUGGUAUCUGGCCCAAAGGUUGCCAGGUGCGUUGCUCCUCCCUGGAGGAACUUUGCAGAUUAGGUAAUGUGCUGUGAGCCAUGGACCUAGACUGUUCUGAACAGCGAUGUAACGUUGGACAAAUCUCUGUGCGGGUUUCCUCAGCUGUAAGAUGUAAAUCACAAUAGUAUCUCAUGGGGUGACUGGAUUAAACUGCACAUGUAGCAAUAUGGUCUGUAUUGUUACAUUGUUGCUUUUUAUCUUUAAGAUGUUUUCAGGUCCCUACCCUCAAAUGCUGGAGAUUGAACCCAGGACCUCACAAAGUUUGGAUUCUGUAACAAUUACACCCAGCCUGGCAUUUGUUUUUGUUGUUUGGAGACAGUUUGAGUUUCCUUUUGUUGUUAAGGAUCAAC
rnacentral:lncRNA from 1 species